rnacentral:miRNA from 1 species
CAUAGACUUAUGAGACGAGUACAU